CUUUUAAUGCGGCCUAUUGUCGGUCUCAAGCCCGAAGAAAACGCAGAGAGAAAA
ncrna:Nasonia vitripennis (jewel Type-P1 twister ribozyme ribozyme sequence